GCCUCACGCGCCGGGCGCCUCACUCACCCAGCGCCGCGCCGGGGUCCUGUACGAUCACUGUGCUGCGGCUCCCCGCCUUAGGGAGCCUCACGCGGUUCCAUGGCUGCGGGCCCGGAAGCAGCGCAGCCAUCUUGGGAGGCAGGAGAGGGACUGGGAAAGGCGGACCUAGGCGAGACGCAGUGGAGCGACGGAAGGAGGGGCGAUGAGCCGACGUCAGGGGAAGGCUAUGGUGAUGGUAGAAGAUACUGCCAUUGAAAUCGGCUCCAUGAUUUCACUGAAAAUGAUGGGAUCCCAGAAUGACAAAGGCCAAGUGGCAACAAUUAACUACAAGAGACAAGGAGGUGGGUCAAAAAAGAUCUUGCUGCGGUUUAUGUCAAAGACUGUUCUGCCUAUACAAUGGAAUAUUACUCAGCCAUAAAUAAGAAGGAAUGAAAUUGUGCCAUUUGCAGAGACGUGGAUGGACCUAGAGACUGUCAUACAGAGUGAAUAUGCUGCUGCAAUCACCUGGGCCAGCUUCCUCACAAGACAUGAUCCUUGACUUUGAAUGGAUGGUGGUGAGAAUGAGCAGAUUGCUAUCAACCUU